CAGAUUUCUUUGGGACUUAAGACUGAACCAUGAUGAGCUGUGCUGACACAGGAAUCGAAACCCUAUAUUUCAUCUCCAUAGAUCUAGAGAUGGCUGAACAGGCUCUCUGCUGCUGGUGUGCAACUUGGUGAUGAACACAGUCAUGAAAGGCAAACCAGAGCUCAGAAAGGAGCUACUGGUAAUUCAACAACGGACUGUUAUUUUCCAGUCACACUCAGAUGUCUGAUUGUCAGCUUUAUAUUUCAGAAAGCAUUCCCUGCAAUUCAGGGACAGAUAUGGCAGACAACCAGCAAAUGGCUCACAUCUACUUCUGGCCUUGUCCUGGACCUGCCCACAUGCUGAGGGCCUUUUCAUUAAUUAAAAGGCAGAAAAAAAAUGUUGUCGAGCAAGGUGAGGAGCUGAGGUUCUGCUUCACAACUCCCAAAAUAAAAG
rnacentral:lncRNA from 1 species